UACGUAGGGUGCAAGCGUUUAAUCGGAAUUACUGGGCGUAAAGCGUGCGCAGGCGGCUUUGCAAGACAGAUGUGAAAUCCCCGGGCUUAACCUGGGAACUGCAUUUGUGACUGCAUGGCUGGAGUGCGGCAGAGGGGGAUGGAAUUCCGCGUGUAGCAGUGAAAUGCGUAGAUAUCUGGAGGAACACCGAUGGCGAAGGCAGCCCCCUGGGCUAACACUGACGCUCAUGCACGAAAGCGUGGGGAGCAAGCAGG
rnacentral:rRNA from 1 species